UAGGGANUCUUCGGCAAUGGGGGCAACCCUGACCGAGCAACGCCGCGUGAGUGAAGAAGGUUUUCGGAUCGUAAAGCUCUGUUGUAAGUCAAGAACGAGUGUGAGAGUGGAAAGUUCACACUGUGACGGUAGCUUACCAGAAAGGGACGGCUAACUACGUGCCAGCAGCCGCGGUAAUACGUAGGUCCCGAGCGUUGUCCGGAUUUAUUGGGCGUAAAGCGAGCGCAGGCGGUUUGAUAAGUCUGAAGUUAAAGGCUGUGGCUCAACCAUAGUUUGCUUUGGAAGCUGUCAAACUUGAGUGCAGAAGGGAAGAGUGGAAUUCCAUGUGUAGCGGUGAAAUGCGUAGAUAUAUGGAGGAACACCGGUGGCGAAAGCGGCUCUCUGGUCUGUAACUGACGCUGAGGCUCGAAAGCGUGGGGAGCGAACAGGAUUAGAUACCCUGGUAGUCCACGCCGUAAACGAUGAGUGCUAGGUGUUGGGUCCUUUCCGGGAUUCAGUGCCGCAGCUAACGCAUUAAGCACUCCGCCUGGGGAGUACGACCGCAAGGUUG
rnacentral:rRNA from 1 species